rnacentral:ncRNA from 2 species
ACUAUCAUAUCGGGGUGCUUAAGUUUCAAAAACAGCUGAGAAUAUACCCGCUGAACUUCAUAGGAUAAUACCAACAGAAGAAAUAUGAUUUGCAAAGGG